AUUAGAAAACGAGAACCAGCAUAGCCAGAAUUGGGUUGUUUGGUUGUUUAUUGACAAUGGCUACCGAUUAGAAUUAAUUGUAUGUGUUUUGUUACCGUCGUGACGGUAUCCAAUUCUUAACCCUAUAAUUCCGGAACCGAAAGUCGGAUCUGUAUGGAAUUCGGAAGUUUAGUAUAAGACUAUGAGGCCUUUGUUGAAAUCGGUCACGCCAUCUCUGAGAAAAGUGAAGAAGAAAUUUGAAUUAAGAUUUGUUUUCUCUGAUCACUCUGUAACUCCGGAACCGGAAGUCGGAUCAAAAUAUAAUUCAGGAACUUUGUACAGGAAAAUUGUACCUUUCAUUUGAAUCUAAGUUCGGGAGAAUCGGUGAGGCCGUCUCUGAGAAAAGUGAGAGCACUUAUUUUCUUUUUUUUUCCCAUAUCACCCUGUAAUUCCGAAACCGGGUGUCGGGUUCUAAUAAAAUUGUAUGGGGUUACAAGACCUUUCAUUUGAAUCUAAGUUGAUGAAAAUCGGUUCAGACAUCUCCGAGAAAAGUGAGUGCAAAAAAGUACAGGUGUGUAAUGAUACAGACACAACUGGAUGUCGUGGAUACGAAUAAAACUGACACUCUUUCUUUACACUUUCGAAUAUCAAUUAGUUGAUCGAUUGUGUAAAUUGUGCAAGCUUUCCCCGUUUACAUAACUAGAAUUUGAAACGAUUACACCUAAAUAAAAGCACAGAUUAGUUACAUUAAACAUUCUGACACACAAAUAUUACGACGAAACCAGUAUAGUUUUUUAUGAUUAAAUAAUGGUGAUUCUGAAAAGAACCUUUUAUAAAGGCGUUUGGGAGGGAGAGUGACAAAUUGAGUUCGAAUUCCGAUAGAUACCAUUGACUUCAGUUGAGUCGGUGCUAUGCAUUUUAUAUAGUAAAUCAACAGAAAGUUCUAAUAAACACUGCCACUGAUUGAAAAAUGGUUUGUACACAGUACAGUUAAGUAAAAUUUCGCAUAGUGCUUUAAAGACUGUCCCAGAAAGUAUGGACGCACUUUGAUUUCGCUUUAAAUAAUUCACAAGUGUUAGAUAUUUAAAUUUCAUUCGAUAUACUGAUAAUAUUAGACUACAACAACAGAAUAUUAUUUUCAACAUUUGCUACUUAGUCAUUGUAGACUAGCUGACGCACCUUCUUGCGAACGUUCCUCAUUAAAUUCCGUACAGACUUCUUGGCGACAAGUUUUGACACUUUUUUCCAAUCUUUUUCGAACUGUUGAAUGGUUUCGGCUACCGAGACAUGUAUCCUAAGAUGUGCCUUCGUUAAUGCCCAAAAUUCCUCAAUUGGUCGAAGUUGUGGGCAAUUUGGUGGAUUCUUGUCUUUUGGGACGAAAGUGACAUUUUUGGUACUAUACCAUUCUACCGUUGAUUUCGAGUAGUGGCAAGAAGCAAGAUAUAAUUUCUACUUGCAAAUGCAUUUUCACACACAAUGAGUUCUUUACUACGUGGAUGUUUUUUCUUCUCAAUCUCUAUAUAGCUUUGAAUAUCGGAAUGGAAUUUUUGUUCGAACUAUUACUUAUGUGUCCAGAGUCACAGCGUGUUGGCCGUUUAGCAUAGGUUGUAAGCGGUGUUCAGUCGCGCUCCACUCACCGCUACCUGAUGGAAACACAUCGUAUAAUUAUUUACUUUUUUCUCUUUUUUCAACGACUAAGUAUAUUGUCGUGAAUACGACUUACUUUACUAUUGGGCGCCCUUUCACAAUUUACCUUGUACAAGAAUGGACAGAACUUUAUCGCGAAUAUCUCUUGAUGAAUAUAACCCAACAACAUAUUUUUUUAUACAAGAUAUCGGAAAUACCACCAAGACCAGGUACAGGCAGCACACCAAGUUUAAUGGUGACCAGAACGACGGCAAAGCAACUGAUAUAGCAGAAGACGAUACCAAAAGACUGCCAAUUGGAAAUCGUUGGAUGAGUCGUUCUUUACGAUAGAGGAACAGAGACAACAGCAACAAGCUUACUCGGACAGUUACGUUCAUCGGAAAUGUCGUCUGGACAAUCAAUGUUUCCAUCGCAUUUUUGAUCUGACGGAAUGCACUGACCGUAAUCACACUGCCACGUACUUCUGGGACAUGCUUUUGUGUUGUGGAAUGGUGAGUUAAAAAAUAAUUACAGGACAGUCUACUUUGCCAUCACAGCGGCCUAUGAUCGAUAUGCAGGAGCGGUCGUUACAGGUAAACUUUCCUAGGGGACAGAACCUCAGUUGCGUGCUCUUUCCUUGUGAUUAAUGUCAGGUUCGAAAAG